GAUGAACGCUGGCGGCGUGCCUAAUACAUGCAAGUCGAGCGGAGCGGGGACGGGUGAGUAACACGUAGCUGCCCUCCUAUAAGCCUGGGAUAACUUCGGGACACCGGAGCUCAACCGGAUACUUCUAGCUAGAUCCGCGCUGCAUUAGCUAGUUGGUAAGGUAACGGCUUACCAAGACAACGAUGCAUAGCCGACCUGAGAGGGUGAUCGGCCACACUGGAACUGAGACACGGUCCAGACUCCUACGGGAGGCAGCAGUAGGGAAUAUUCCGCAAUGGGCGAAAGCCUGACGGAGCAACGCCGCGUGAGUGAUGAAGGUCUUCGGAUCGUAAAACGCUUUUAUUAGGGAAGCGGUACCUAAUCAGAAAGCCACGGCUAACUACGUGCCAGCAGCCGCGGUAAUAC
rnacentral:rRNA from 1 species